GAUGAACGCUAGCGGCAGGCUUAACACAUGCAAGUCGAGGGGCAGCACAGGUAGCAAUACUGGGUGGCGACCGGUAAACGGGUGCGGAACACGUACACAAUCUACCUUUAUCUGGGGGAUAGCCCGAAGAAAUUCGGAUUAACACCCCAUAAAAUAACAGAGUGGCAUCACUUAAUUAUUAAAACUCCGGUGGAUAGAGAUGAGUGUGCGUCCCUUUAGCUAGUUGGUAGGGUAACGGCCUACCAAGGCGACGAUGGGUAGCGGGUGUGAGAGCACGACCAGCCACACGGGCACUGAGACACGGGCCCGACUCCUACGGGAGGCAGCAGUGAGGAAUAUUGGUCAAUGGACGCAAGUCUGAACCAGCCAUGCCGCGUGAAGGAUGAAGGCCUUCUGGGUUGUAAACUUCUUUUAUUGGGGAAGAAAAUUAUGGUUUCUACUAUAACCGACGGUACCCAAGGAAUCAGCACCGGCUAACUCCGUGCCAGCAGCCGCAGUAAGAC
rnacentral:rRNA from 1 species